UCAGGAUGAACGCCGGCGGUGUGCCUAAUACAUGCAAGUCGAACGCGUUGGCCCAAUUGAUUGAUGGUGCUUGCACCUGAUUGAUUUUGGUCGCCAACGAGUGGCGGACGGGUGAGUAACACGUAGGUAACCUGCCCAGAAGCGGGGGACAACAUUUGGAAACAGAUGCUAAUACCGCAUAACAGCGUUGUUCGCAUGAACAACGCUUAAAAGAUGGCUUCUCGCUAUCACUUCUGGAUGGACCUGCGGUGCAUUAGCUUGUUGGUGGGGUAACGGCCUACCAAGGCGAUGAUGCAUAGCCGAGUUGAGAGACUGAUCGGCCACAAUGGGACUGAGACACGGCCCAUACUCCUACGGGAGGCAGCAGUAGGGAAUCUUCCACAAUGGGCGCAAGCCUGAUGGAGCAACACCGCGUGAGUGAAGAAGGGUUUCGGCUCGUAAAGCUCUGUUGUUAAAGAAGAACACGUAUGAGAGUAACUGUUCAUACGUUGACGGUAUUUAACCAGAAAGUCACGGCUAACUACGUGCCAGCAGCCGCGGUAAUACGUAGGUGGCAAGCGUUAUCCGGAUUUAUUGGGCGUAAAGAGAGUGCAGGCGGUUUUCUAAGUCUGAUGUGAAAGCCUUCGGCUUAACCGGAGAAGUGCAUCGGAAACUGGAUAACUUGAGUGCAGAAGAGGGUAGUGGAACUCCAUGUGUAGCGGUGGAAUGCGUAGAUAUAUGGAAGAACACCAGUGGCGAAGGCGGCUACCUGGUCUGCAACUGACGCUGAGACUCGAAAGCAUGGGUAGCGAACAGGAUUAGAUACCCUGGUAGUCCAUGCCGUAAACGAUGAGUGCUAGGUGUUGGAGGGUUUCCGCCCUUCAGUGCCGGAGCUAACGCAUUAAGCACUCCGCCUGGGGAGUACGACCGCAAGGUUGAAACUCAAAGGAAUUGACGGGGGCCCGCACAAGCGGUGGAGCAUGUGGUUUAAUUCGAAGCUACGCGAAGAACCUUACCAGGUCUUGACAUCUUGCGCCAACCCUAGAGAUAGGGCGUUUCCUUCGGGAACGCAAUGACAGGUGGUGCAUGGUCGUCGUCAGCUCGUGUCGUGAGAUGUUGGGUUAAGUCCCGCAACGAGCGCAACCCUUGUUACUAGUUGCCAGCAUUAAGUUGGGCACUCUAGUGAGACUGCCGGUGACAAACCGGAGGAAGGUGGGGACGACGUCAGAUCAUCAUGCCCCUUAUGACCUGGGCUACACACGUGCUACAAUGGACGGUACAACGAGUCGCGAACUCGCGAGGGCAAGCAAAUCUCUUAAAACCGUUCUCAGUUCGGACUGCAGGCUGCAACUCGCCUGCACGAAGUCGGAAUCGCUAGUAAUCGCGGAUCAGCAUGCCGCGGUGAAUACGUUCCCGGGCCUUGUACACACCGCCCGUCACACCAUGAGAGUUUGUAACACCCAAAGUCGGUGGGGUAACCUUUUAGGAGCCAGCCGCCUAAGGUGGGACAGAUGAUUAGGGUGAAGUC
rnacentral:rRNA from 2 species